rnacentral:rRNA from 1 species
CUAGCGUUGUUCGGAAUCACUGGGCGUAAAGGGCGCGUAGGCGGCCGCUCAAGUCGGGGGUGAAAGCCUGUGGCUCAACCACAGAAUUGCCUUCGAUACUGUUUGGCUUGAGACCGGAAGAGGUUAGUGGAACUGCGAGUGUAGAGGUGAAAUUCGUAGAUAUUCGCAAGAACACCAGUGGCGAAGGCGGCUGACUGGUCCGGUUCUGACGCUGAGGCGCGAAAGCUGGGGGAGCAAACGGG